GAUGAACGCUAGCGGCAGGCUUAAUACAUGCAAGUCGAGGGGCGGCAUGAAUGUAGCAAUACAUUUGAUGGCGACCGGCAAACGGGUGCGGAACACGUACACAACCUUCCUAUAAGUGGGGAAUAGCCCAGAGAAAUUUGGAUUAAUACCCCGUAACAUAAUGAUGUGGCAUCACAUUAUUAUUAUAGCUUCGGCGCCUAUUGCUGGGUGUGCGGCUGAUUAGAUAGUUGGCGGGGUAACGGCCCACCAAGUCUACGAUCAGUAGCUGAUGUGAGAGCAUGAUCAGCCACACGGGCACUGAGACACGGGCCCGACUCCUACGGGAGGCAGCAGUAAGGAAUAUUGGUCAAUGGACGCAAGUCUGAACCAGCCAUGCCGCGUGAAGGAUUAAGGUCCUCUGGAUUGUAAACUUCUUUUAUCUGGGACGAAAAAAGGCUAUUCUUAGUCACUUGACGGUACCAGAUGAAUAAGCACCGGCUAACUCCGUGCCAGCAGCCGCCGUAAAAC
rnacentral:rRNA from 1 species